ACCCCAUCUUCUCCAUCCCUUCUGCCAAAGAACCCGUACUUACCCUACUAGUUAUUGGUUGAUACUAGUGGGGUCACAUGAGAUCUCCGCUGUCGUCUCGGUUCGUUGACGCGGGUAGCGUUGCGGUAGGUGAGUUUUAGAGACAGGAAAAAAGAAGGGGGGAGAAAGAAGAGGAGGCGAAGCAGCGGUCGCGGUGGGUGAGGUCAGGAAUCGAUGGCGCAGGGACAGGGUGCGAUGCCGACGCCGUCACCGACUCCGGCGACGAAUCCGCCGCAGGCGGAUGUCCCACCUGCGGCUGUGGGGCGGCAGCAGCAGGGUUACGCGGUGGAGUUGUACUUCGACCCGGCGCUGGAGAACCAAGUGCUGAAGGCGUGGAACGUGCUCGCCCGCCGGCAGAUCAGCACGCAGCUCAUCGAGAUGGCCGCCCGCCCCCACCUCACCCUCCUCUCUGUCCCCACCCUCGAUCCCCUUCGCCUCCACGCCGCCCUCCGCUCCCUCGCCGCCCGCCUCGAUCCCCUCCCCCUCACCCUCUCCUCCGUCGGUGCCUUCCCUUCCUCCUCCUCCUCUUCCUCCUCUGACGCAGGCGUUCUCUUCCUCGCCCCCACGCCCUCGGCUGCCCUCCUGCACCUCCACUCCCAGCUCUGCGAGACCCUCCGCAAGGAAGGCGUUGAGGCUCCGGAGGAGUUCCGCCCCGAUUCCUGGGUGCCUCAUUGCUCCGUCGCCCAGGACGUUCCCCGGAGCAGGAUCGCCGACGCCUUCUGCAUUCUCCGGGAUCUCAAGCUGCCCGUGUCAGGGUACGUCAUGGACAUCGGCCUUGUGGAGUUCUCGCCCGUGCAGGAGAUCGUCUCCUUCCCCCUCGGGAGUGGUUCGGAAGCUUGAGGUUUGAGUUAUAAGGCUACGCACAUUGAUCCUCCCCGGACCCCGCAUUUGUGGGAGCCUCAUGAGUUUGGUAUGUUGUAUUCAGUUAAUGGGAUAGUCUUUCUCUGAGUUGGCACCCUAGGUAUCAUAUAGAAAAAAAAAGGUUUCUCCUUUCGAUGGCGUCAACUAUUUGUCAUGGAAGUGCUGAAAGGAUAUCAAAUUCGCUGUUUAAUAUGGCGCGGUUUUUUCAGCGAUACUGACUUCUAUUUAUUCAAGGCCAUGAAAAGAGAUGUAUGUGUGUGUAAUGUUCUUGGAGUUUUGAAGCAAGAUAUUACAGAUUACUAUUUGUUUCUGCUUCUGGAAGUAUGAACUGUUAGUCUUAGCUAGGUUUUCUGUGGACCGGAAUCUUAACCUUUUUGUCUUUUCAUUUAUGAAGAUGUUUCAGUAUACUGGCAAAAGAAAUCCAUUUUAGAUUUAUGUUUCA